rnacentral:rRNA from 1 species
GACGAACGCUGGCGGCGUGCUUAACACAUGCAAGUCGAACGGAAAGGCCCUGCUUUUGUGGGGUGCUCGAGUGGCGAACGGGUGAGUAACACGGGAGUAACCUGCCCUUGACUUUGGGAUAACUUCAGGAAACUGGGGCUAAUACCGGAUAGGAGCUCCUGCUGCAUGGUGGGGGUUGGAAAGUUUCGGCGGUUGGGGAUGGACUCGCGGCUUAUCAGCUUGUUGGUGGGGUAGUGGCUUACCAAGGCUUUGACGGGUAGCCGGCCUGAGAGGGUGACCGGCCACAUUGGGACUGAGAUACGGCCCAGACUCCUACGGGAGGCAGCAGUGGGGAAUAUUGCACAAUGGGCGGAAGCCUGAUGCAGCAACGCCGCGUGCGGGAUGACGGCCUUCGGGUUGUAAACCGCUUUCGCCUGUGACGAAGCGUGAGUGACGGUAAUGGAUAAAGAAGCACCGGCUAACUACGUG